AUGUCUUUAGUGUACAUCUGCUUCUGCAUCCACUUUGGUCUCAGUUCUCAAUCAGUGUCACCCUCUCAAUAUUGCCAAACUGUGGCUAACAAGCUGACUCUGGACAAACUGGAUGUGAAGGGGAAAUGGAUCAUGAUAAGGGUGGACUUCAGUGUUCCUAUGAAGAACAACCAGAUAACAACCAACCAGAGGAUCAAGGCUGCUAUCCCAAGCAUCAUAUUCUGCUGGGACAAUGGUGCCAACUCAGUUGUCCUUAUGAGCUACCUGGGCCAGCCUGAUGGUGUCCCCAUGCCGGACAAGUACUCCGUAGAGCCAGUUGCUGUCGAACUCAAGUCUCUGCGGAGCAAGGAUGUUCUGUUCUUGAAGGAUUGUGUGGGCCCAGAAAUAGAGAAAGCCUGUUCAGCCCUGCAACUAGGUCUGUCAUCCUGCUGGAGAACUUCUGCUUUCAUGUAGAGGAAGAAGGGAAAGGAAAAAAUGCUUCCAGGAACAAGAUUAAAGCUGAACCAGCCAAAAUAGAAGCUUUCCGAGCAUCACUUUCCAAACUAGGGGCUGUCUAUGGCAAUGAUGCUUUCAGCACUGCACAUAGAGCGCACAGCUCCAUGGUGGGAGUCAAUCUGCCACAGAGGCUGGUGGAUUUUUGAUGAAGAAAAAGCUGAACUACUUUGCCAAAGCCUUGGAGAGCCCAGAGCGACCCUCUCUGGCCAUCUUGGGUGGAGCUAAAGUUGCGGACAAGAUCCAACUGAUCAAUAAUAUGUUGGACAAAGUCAAUGAGAUGAUUAUGGGGGGAGGAAUGGCUUUUACCUACCUCAAGGAAGGUAAAACAACUUGGAGAUUGGUACUUCUCUGUUUGAUGAAGAGGAAGCCAAGAUUGUUAAAGAUCUUAUGGUGAAAGCCGAGAAGAAUGGUGUAAAGAUGACCUUGCCUGUUGACUUUGUCACUGCUUGAUGAAAACACCUAGACUGGCCAAGCCACUGUGGCUUCUGGCAUACCUGCUGGCUGGAUGGGCUUGGACUGUGGUCCUGAGAGCAGCAAGAAGUACGUGGAGGCUGUCGGUCUGGCUAAGCAGAUUGAAUGGAAUAGACCUGUGGGGGUAUUUGAAUGGGAAGCUUUUGCUCAGGGAACCAAAGCUCUCAGGAACGAGGUGGUAAAAGCCACCUCUUGUGGCUGCAUUACCAUCAUAGGUGGUAGAGAAACUGACACAUGCUGUGCCCAAUGGCACACAGAGGAUAAACUCUGCCAUGUGAGCACUGUGGGGUGGUGCCAAUUUAGAGCUCCAGGAAGGUAAAGUCCUUCCUGGGGUGGAUGCUAUCAGCAGUGCUUAGUACUUUCCUGCCUCUUGGUUCCUAUGCACAGGUCCUAAGUCAACUUUUU